rnacentral:rRNA from 1 species
AACGAACGCUGGCGGCAUGCCUAACACAUGCAAGUCGAACGAGACCUUCGGGUCUAGUGGCGCACGGGUGCGUAACGCGUGGGAACCUGCCCUUAGGUUCGGAAUAACUCCCCGAAAGGGGUGCUAAUACCGGAUAAUGUCUUCGGACCAAAGAUUUAUCGCCUUUGGAUGGGCCCGCGUUGGAUUAGCUAGUUGGUAGGGUAAAAGCCUACCAAGGCGACGAUCCAUAGCUGGUCUGAGAGGAUGAUCAGCCACACUGGGACUGAGACACGGCCCAGACCCCUACGGGGGGCAGGGGUGGGGAAUAUUGGACAAGGGGCAAAAGCCUGAUCCAGCAAUGCCGGGGGAGUGAAGAAGGCCUUGGGGUUGUAAAGCUUUUUUACCCGGGAUUAUAAGGACGGACCGGGGAAAAAAAGCCCGGCUUAAUCCCUG